rnacentral:lncRNA from 1 species
UUGAUCUUGAUGAACAGUUGAUGAAUGGAUCUUCAAGGGCUUUUGGGCUUUAUCUUGAAGAACGGUUGGAUAUGUAGAUUUGUUGAUGUUGUUGAUCCAAAGGACCGUUGGGGCUUGAUUUUAGGAUGAACAAAUGAUGAACGAUGAACGAUUUCUUCAAGGGUCGUCGGGGAUUGAUCUUGAAUUGGUGGAAGUUCCUUCAAAGGGCCAUUGGGGCUUGAUCUUGAAGGUUGGGUUGAUGAAGAACGAAGAGCUUUCUUGAUCCUUCGGGAUUUGCUUGGGAGCUUUGGAGUUUCAAAGCUUCAAGGUUUUGGUGUGAGGUGAAUUGGUUAUGAAUUAGUCCCCUUUAAAUGAAUGAAAUGGCUUCUAUUUAUAGAAUUUUCCAAGGCCUAAUUUUGAAUAUGAUAUUCAGAUGAAAUAAAUCGUUUCUGCCAGGUGUUGACACGUG